GUACCUCGUCGACUGGGUAGGUUGCGGUCCUGAGGAGCGCUCUUGGCUCGCUGGUUCUUCCAUCCCUGACCAGUCUCUCAUCGAGGCGUUCGUCUCCUCUCGUCCCUCCACUUCCUCCUCUGGGCCGCCAGGUGGCGACCCUUGAGGGGGGGGUGGUGUCAGGACUCAGCUGGCAGGGCUGUGCAGCUUGCUGCCAGCUCCGUUACCUCUGCUCCUUCACAGGUGUUCGUGGUUGGACGGUGGGCGGAGUGCGCACACCUGCAGCUCGUUCAGCAGCAUCUGAGCGUUCUAUAAGAACUGCGUCCGAACAGCGAGAGGACGCCAGAGUGUUUUCGUUGCGGUUUCCCUGUGUCUACGUGAACCCCGAAUGACUCUAGAGUUCCUCGGCUCGACCAGACGUACCUCAGCUCUGGACGCGAGUCACACCAACUCUCUCUCCGGUUCCUCUCGCUGCUCUGGAUCCCUGGACGCCCUCGUUGCUGCUCGGACCCCCUCGCCCCGCUCUCCGUCGACCCGAACGCCUGCUCAAGACAAUCCAGCUGAGUCCUCCUUACCGUCUCCCCGCUCGGUUAACCAAUCCUCGUGACUGGUCUGGUCCCUUGGUCCCGGGAUAAGUUCGAGCCACCAU